GGAAGAGAGAAAGAUUUCACCGGUCCUGGGUCCAGUGCUGGUCCAGUCAGCCUAGGGGUCCAAUUCUGGUGGGCUUGCACACGUGGGGCUUCAGUUUGUGACCUUUUAUCAUCCUUGCCCCUCCUUCGGGCGGGCACUCGAACUCAUUAGGCUAA